AAGUAGUAAAAAAUUUUUUACAAACUUAUUUAAACUGGCGGCAUUUUACUUAGUUAGAGGAAUCUGUUUAUUAAUCGAUAAUCCACGUUAAUUUUUACUUUAAAAUAUAAUUUAUAUAUCGCCAUUUUAAGAAAUAAAUUUAAUAAUUUUUUCUUAAUAAUAAUUAAAAAAUUAGGUCAAGGUGUAAUUUAUAUUAAAGGUAAAAAUGGAUUAUUUUAAAAAAAUUUAAGAAUCUAAUAAUAUUAAUUAUUAUUGAAAAAAGAUUUAAUAGUAAUAACAAAAUAAUAUUUCAUUAUAAAUAAAAUAAUAAAUGUGC
rnacentral:rRNA from 1 species